CCUACGGUGGGCAGCAGUGGGGAAUAUUGCACAAUGGGGGAAACCCUGAUGCAGCGACGCCGCGUGAAGGAAGAAGUAUUUCGGUAUGUAAACUUCUAUCAGCAGGGAAGAAAAUGACGGUACCUGACUAAGAAGCCCCGGCUAACUACGUGCCAGCAGCCGCGGUAAUACGUAGGGGGCGAGCGUUAUCCGGAUUUAUUGGGUUUAAAGGGUGCGUAGGCGGACUGGAAAGUCAGCGGUAAAAUCGAGCGGCUCAACCUCUUUCCGCCGUUGAAACUGUCGGUCUUGAGUGGGCGAGAAGUAUGCGGAAUGCGUGGUGUAGCGGUGAAAUGCAUAGAUAUCACGCAGAACUCCGAUUGCGAAGGCAGCAUACCGGCGCCCGACUGACGCUGAGGCACGAAAGCGUGGGUAUCGAACAGGAUUAGAUACCCUUGUAGUC
rnacentral:rRNA from 1 species